GUUUCUUCGGAAAUGGAUUAGCGGCGAACGGGUGAGGAACACGUGAAGAAUCUGCCCUCCACUUUGGGAUAACACCGGGAAACCGGUGCUAAUACCGAAUAUUGAAACAUAAGUGGCAUCACUGAGUUUUGAAAGAAUUUCGGUGGAGGAUGACUUCGCGGCCUAUCAGCUAGUUGGUGAGGUAAUGGCUCACCAAGGCAACGACGGGUAGCCGGCCUGAGAGGGCGACCGGCCACACUGGGACUGAGACACGGCCCAGACUCCUACGGGAGGCAGCAGUGGGGAAUAUUGGGCAAUGGAGGAAACUCUGACCCAGCGACGCCGCGUGCGGGAUGAAGGCCUUCGGGUUGUAAACCGCUUUCAGUAGGGAAGAAGCGAAAGUGACGGUACCUACAAAAGAAGCACCGGCUAACUAUGUGCCAGCAGCCGCGGUAAUACAUAGGGUGCAAGCGUUGUCCGGAAUUAUUGGGCGUAAAGAGCUCGU
rnacentral:rRNA from 1 species